rnacentral:rRNA from 1 species
UACAGGGGGUGCAAACGUUGCUCGGAAUCAUUGGGCGUAAAGCGCACGUAGGCGGUUUGUUAUGUCGGAUGUGAAAGCCCUUGGCUCAACUGAGGAAGUGCAUCCGAAACUGGCAAGCUAGAGUACUAAAGAGGGUCGCGGAAUUCCCGGUGUAGAGGUUAAAUUCGUAGAUAUCGGGAGGAACACCGGUGGCGAAGGCGGCGACCUGGGUAGAUACUGACGCUGAGGUGCGAAAGCGUGGGGAGCAGACAGG